rnacentral:tmRNA from 1 species
GGGGGUGAUCCGGUUUCGACGGGAUGCGUUGAGGUCAGGUCGCGCGUCGUGGAUUCUCGUUGGCCACGUAAAAAACGAGAAAAACUGUAAUUGCGAACAACGAUUACGCUCUUGCCGCCUAAAUAACGGCCGCAAUGUCGACCUGCCGACGUCCGAUGAGCAGGAAGGCAUAAUCUAUCGGGCCACGCUGCAGGGGGAUCCUCCUGCUCGCUGCAGGGUGCCGAAUCAUGGGGAUGGGUGCGGAUAAGCCCGGUCGUCGGCGUACCGCAUCCGAGAUCAAAGGCGGCAUACACGCGUAGAAGCUUGGGUGAUUCCAUUUCGGACAGGGGUUCGACUCCCCUCACCUCCACCA